rnacentral:rRNA from 1 species
UGGGGAAUAUUGCACAAUGGGCGCAAGCCUGAUGCAGCCAUGCCGCGUGUAUGAAGAAGGCCUUCGGGUUGUAAAGUACUUUCAGUCGGGAGGAAGGUGGUAAGGUUAAUAACCUUGGCAAUUGACGUUACCGACAGAAGAAGCACCGGCUAACUCCGUGCCAGCAGCCGCGGUAAUACGGAUGGUGCAAGCGUUAAUCGGAAUUACUGGGCGUAAAGCGCACGCAGGCGGUUGAUUGAGUCAGAUGUGAAAUCCCCGGGCUUAACCCGGGAAUUGCAUCUGAUACUGGUCAGCUAGAGUCUUGUAGAGGGGGGUAGAAUUCCAUGUGUAGCGGUGAAAUGCGUAGAGAUGUGGAGGAAUACCGGUGGCGAAGGCGGCCCCCUGGACAAAGACUGACGCUCAGGUGCGAAAGCGUGGGGAGCAAACAGG